CAGGGUGUGGCGCAGUUGGUAGCGCGCUGGGCUGGGGGUCCAGAGGCCGCGGGUUCAAGUCCCGCCUCCCUGACCA
rnacentral:tRNA from 1 species